rnacentral:misc_RNA from 1 species
UAUGAAGAACGCAGCGAAAUGCGAUACGUAAUGUGAAUUGCAGAAUUCAGUGAAUCAUCGAGUCUUUGAACGCACAUUGCGCCCCCUGGUAUUCCGGGGGGCAUGCCUGUCCGAGCGUCAUUGCUGCCCUCAAGCACGGCUUGUGUGUUGGGCCUCCGUCCUCCUCCCGGGGGACGGGCCCGAAAGGCAGCGGCGGCACCGCGUCCGGUCCUCGAGCGUAUGGGGCUUCGUCACCCGCUCUUGUAGGCCCGGCCGGCGCUUGCCGACACAUCAAUCUUUUUUCCAGGUUGACCUCGGAUCAGGUAGGGAUACCCGCUGAACUUAAGCAUAUCAAUAAGCGGAGGA